AUCCCGCUGACGAGUCCCGAAUAGGAUGAAACGCGCAUCAUGGAAU
rnacentral:hammerhead_ribozyme from 1 species